AGCAGAGUGGCGAGCACAGAGCGAACUAUUCUUUCGCCUUUUACUAAAGAAUACCGUGUGCUCGCCACUUAUGGCAGCAUACGCCAAUUUUUGAAGGGUCCUUCUCUUUCAAGGAGGGU
rnacentral:snRNA from 1 species